rnacentral:misc_RNA from 1 species
GAUUUCUAAAAAUGCGAGUUCGUAUAUUUACUAACAGUAACACCACAGCCUUUUCCGGUAGUUGAUGAUCCCUUGCCAUCGUUUGAAACUGCUCACCAGUAACUGCUGUAGCCUCUCUCCUUCCUCCUGUCACUUCAACAAGCAAAGCAACAACCACUUCUUGACAAGAAAGAAACUGUUCAAACCAAUGGCACCAUUUAAAAUAGCCAGAGUGAAAUUUUCAUCCAAAAAAUCUUGUUUUUUAAUUGUUCCAAACGAAUGGGUUCAGGACACUGUUGAGAAGCCUACUGUGUGGAAGGUUUCUUAUAAUAGCAAUAAGAAAGCAUACUUCACAAACAGCACAAGCUACAGAGGUCAUGAUCUGUUUCUUGAUAAUGAUCCUGUUGUCAAAAUAAACAAGAGAUAUGCAAAUAAGCUAGGAAUAAAUGAAAAUGAAGAGGUUGUACUACAACAGCUAACAGCAAGUUCAGUGCUAGCAUGCACUCAAGUGAAAUUGGAUCCGCUAACAUGUGAUGACUGGGAAAUAAUUGAACGAAAUGGAAAGAUAAUUGAAUCACAGUUAAUAAAUCAAAUUAGAGUGGUUUGGAAAGAUCAGGUUUUUCCUAUUUGGAUUGAUCAAAAUGUACUUCACAUGCAAGUGGUUGAUCUAGAACCUGAAUCACUUCCUGGAAUGCUGCUUGAAUACACUGAAGUUGUUAUUUCUCCUAAAAUGAGAGAUGAUAAAAGUCAGUCUUUUUCUAAUAAUAAUGCAGUACAAGGGAAUUCAACUGGAAUAUCCUAUUCUUUGGAAUCUAGUAAAACAUUUACUAACAGUUCAAAUUCCAUUGUACGCCCAACAGAUUUAACAUCGUUAUUAGAAAAACCAAAAAAUAAGGCAGAUAACGGGAACAGUAAAAAUCAUGAUGAUAAACCUGUAGAAACUUUAUCCAGUUCUGCUUCUGUACGUUCAAACCUUACUCCUUACAGGCAUAUUUCAGUUUUAAGCCUGUUUAGUGAUUUGGCAAAAAUGGUAAUGUCUACAUAUGGCUCUAAAUACAGUUCAUCUAUAGAAAACUUAAAAGAACUGGAGGUUCCUCACAAGAAAGAAAAUCUACCAUUCAAUUUAGACAUGAGCUUAAGGGUGGUUCCUUAUAACUUUGAACCAGAUUUUAAAUUGAAACAGAAUAAUGAUUCUGUCUUGCUGUUUUCUCCAUGUUCUGUUUAUCUAAGUGAAGACAGUCUGAAACAACAAUAUCCUUUCAUAUCAGAAGUUCCUAAAACAUUUAUUGCUAAGCUCUCAAAGAUUCAUACACCUGAAGAGAGACAUGCUUAUCUUUUCCACAAAAGUAAAGAACAACCAAAGAGUAGAAGACAAGAAAAUGAAAAAUCCCAGAAUGACAAAUUAUUGCAUCCCACAGAAGAAUUUGUAUUUGAUUCUGCAAAUGUAAGAGUAUUUGUAGUUUCAAAACGAGGAACUAGAGAACAGGAGGAACUUCAUCGUAUUUUACAUUUUUCUUAUUGUAUGAAGCAGUUAGCUAUACCUGAUUUACUUAGGAGACAAUUAGGGUUAGAGGUAACGAGUGUAGUACGUCUUGAAAGUGUUAACUACCUGGCAACCCAUCCUCGAUUUCUUUCACUAUAUCCUCAAUCCAUGGUCAAGGUUUCCACUGAAAGUGUCAUAGAGAUGUUCAAAAAUUGGAUAGGAGGUGUUAGUAACAAUUUUUAUCCACUUGUGGUCAUGCCUGGAACUUUAGUUUCACUUUCUGUCGAUGGUAAAAAUAUUGACUUUAUUCUGAAACCAGAAGCUCUUCCUGAGUUGGAUGCAACUCCUGCUUCAACUACAAAUAACCUCCCCCAAAAGGAUAAACCUAAUUUUACACCAUCUUCCACCUGUCUCUGGUAUCUCAUCCCAGAGGCUGUGAAGUCUGAUUUUGUUAUAUGCAAAGUUCAAGAUGUAAAGUUAAUACCCAUGAUGCCAUGGGGCAUACACUUACCCAUUCGUUUAAUGGAAGAAUUAGACUUUGGAAAAGUUGGAUGUCAAAUUGCAGAAUUAGGGGCAGUUAAAGAAUUAGCUGAUAAGGCAAUAGCAUUCUUUGAACUUGGACUUGGGCUUGUUCCUUCUGCUAAUUGUCUGACUGCGGGGUCACCAUGGAGUGGCUAUAGUUUACUGCUUACGGGACCUAAGGGUGCCGGAAAAACGUCACUGGCCAAAGCUAUUUGUCGAAAAUUGUCAGAUCCUUUUCAUUAUGUCUUUGUUAGUCUUUUGGAUUGCAGACGACUAAGAGGUAGAAAGAUAGAAGGCAUUCAUAAAGCAUGGAACAGAGUUUGUUGUGAUGCCAUUCACAGAGCUCCAUCUAUAAUUUUGUUCGAAGACUUGGAUUUACUGAUUCCUGCCCCAGCUUCAGUGGAAGUAGAAGCAUCUCCACAUGGACAGUACAUUGUUAAAAUCACUGAAGUAUUUAGAAGUAUGCAAGAGGCCCUGAAAGAUUCGGGAGCCAGAGUAGUCAUGUUGGUUACAAGUAAAUCAGGAAACUCUCUUCAUCCAUAUCUUUCUACUUCACAUGGAGUUCAUGUUUUUGACAUGGUUUUAGACAUUGUACCUCCCAAUAUGGAGCAGAGAAAAGAAAUUUUAGAAUCCAUUGUUUUGUUCAAGACAUAUCUUUGUGCUGAUGCAUUGAAAACGGUUAACUUAGCUACUGUUGCUUCUAAGACUGAAGGAUGUUUACCCCAGGAUUUAGAGAUCAUUGUAGAUAGAGCUACACAUGCUGCUUUUCUUCGCUCAAUUUCUGAUAAUAAAGUUCAAGAUGAAACAGAAGCAGUUUUGACUGAUGCAGACUUUCAAGCAGCUCUGUAUGACUUUUCUCCACUGUCUCUACGGGAUUUAAACCUUCAUACUGGGGGUGAUAAAGGGUGGAAUGAUGUGGGAGGAUUAAACUCAGUAAAAAAAUCAUUAAAGGAAAUGCUUCUUUGGCCUGUGAAAUAUCCAUCCCUGUUUGCUGCAUGCCCACUGAAACCACAGUCUGGAAUUUUGUUGUUUGGAGCUCCUGGAACAGGCAAGACAUUGUUAGCGGGAACUGUGGCCAAAGAAUUUGGAUUACAUUUCAUUAGUAUAAAAGGACCUGAGCUGUUGUCCAAGUACAUAGGAGCAAGUGAGCAAGCCAUCAGGACAGUGUUUAACAAGGCACAAUCUGCAAAACCGUGUGUGUUGUUUUUUGACGAAUUUGAUUCCAUAGCCCCAAGAAGAGGGCAUGAUAGUACUGGAGUAACAGAUCGUGUAGUAAAUCAGUUGCUUACACAAAUGGAUGGAGUGGAGAGUCUAGAGGGUGUAUAUGUGUUAGCUGCAACAAGUCGUCCUGAUCUAAUUGAUCCUGCUCUGUUAAGACCUGGAAGAUUAGACAAAUGUUUGCAUUGCCCUCUUCCUAACUUGCUGUUCUUUCAAAGAAGAGUAUCAGUCCACUGGUCAAAAAGGUACAAGUUGUUACAGAGAAAGGUAAACAAUCUAAUUACAACUUUAGUCCAGGCAUCACAGAUGAAGAAGUGAUGUAUCUUCCAAGUGUUGAAGAAGGCGUAGUAGAACUUCAGCCUGAGCAACAGAGAAAACUUCUUCAGGAGGUGAAAGACAUCAAAACUAAUAUUUAUGGGAGAAACCAAAGACACCGAACUUCUACACAAGAUAAUGCUCCCAGUUCCCUCUCCCCUCUUAUAAAGCAGAAACACCUUCAGUAUGUAGCAAAUGAUAUGUCUCCAUCUGUGAUGCUUGAGGAAAGACUUCACUACCAGUCAAU